UUUCCCUCAGGAUAGCUGGCACUUGUCUCAUCACAGUUUUAUCCGGUAAAGCGAAUGAUUAGAGGUCUUGGGGCCGAAACAAUCUCAACCUAUUCUCAAACUUUAAAUGGGCCACUUUUGGUAAGCAGAACUGGUGCUGCGGGAUGAACUG
rnacentral:ncRNA from 1 species